rnacentral:rRNA from 1 species
GAUUAACGCUGGCGGCGUGCCUAACACAUGCAAGUCGAACGAGGUAGCAAUACCUAGUGGCAGACGGGUGAGUAACGCGUGGUCAACCUACCGUUGAGUGGGGGAUAACUAGCCGAAAGGUUAGCUAAUACCGCAUACGUCUCCGAGUGGCAUCACUUGGCGAUAAAAGGAGCAAUCCGCUCGAUGACGGGACCGCGUCCCAUUAGCUAGAUGGGUGGGGUAACCGGCCUACCAUGGCACCGAUGGGUAGCUGGUUUGAGAGAGCGACCAGCCACACUGGGACUGAGAAACGGCCCAGACU